CCUCGGCUAGAACGAACGUUGGCGGCGUGGAUUAGGCAUGCAAGUCGAACGAAUCCUGGGGUAGCAAUACCCCGGGGGAAGUGGCGAAAGGGGCAGUAAUGCGUGGGUAACCUACCCUGGGGAUGGGCAUAGCCGGCCUAACGGCCGGGUAAUUCCCAGCGAUCUGGUUGGGGGGCAUCCUUCGACCAGGAAAUGAGUUUCGCCUCGGGAGGGACUCACGUCGUAUUAGCUUGUUGGCGGGGUAACGGCCCACCAAGGCAAAGAUGCGUAGCGGGUGUGAGAGCACGACCCGCGCCACUGGCACUGAGACACUGGCCAGACACCUACGGGUGGCUGCAGUCGAGGAUCUUCGUCAAUGGGCGCAAGCCUGAACGAGCGACGCCGCGUGUGCGAUUGAAGGCCUUCGGGUUGUAAAGCACAAAAGGGGGGAACAAGGGGCAACCUUGAGUGAACCCCAGUAAGCUCGGGCUAAGUUCGUGCCAGCAGCCGCGGUAAGACGAACCGAGCGAACGUUGUUCGGAAUCACUGGGCUUAAAGGGCGCGUAGGCGGGUACGUAAGUCUGUGGUGAAAUCCCCCGGCCCAACCGGGGAACUGCCGUGGAUACUGCGUGUCUAGAGUGAGGUAGGGGCGUGCGGAACGGAUGGUGGAGCGGUGAAAUGCGUUGAUAUCAUCUGGAACUCCGGUGGCGAAGGCGGCACGCUGGACCUCUUCUGACGCUGAGGCGCGAAAGCCAGGGGAGCAAACGGGAUUAGAUACCCCGGUAGUCCUGGCCCUAAACGAUGGGCACUAGGUAGUAGCCUUCACAUGGGGUUACUGCCGGAGCAAAAGUGCUAAGUGCCCCGCCUGGGGAGUAUGGUCGCAAGGCUGAAACUCAAAGGAAUUGACGGGGGCUCACACAAGCGGUGGAGCAUGUGGCUUAAUUCGAGGCUACGCGAAGAACCUUAUCCCAGGCUUGACAUGUCCGAAAGGGGUAGGAAGUAGCGUGCGGAAACGUUACGCCAACGGUAUCCAGUCCGGAACCUACCACAGGUGCUGCAUGGCUGUCGUCAGCUCGUGUCGUGAGAUGUCGGGUUAAGUCCCAUAACGAGCGAAACCCUUGCCCUCAGUUGCCAGCGGGUCAUGCCGGGCACUCUGGGGGGACUGCCGGUGUCAAACCGGAGGAAGGUGGGGAUGACGUCAAGUCCUCAUGGCCUUUACGCCUGGGGCUGCACACGUGCUACAAUGGCGUGAACAAAGGGACGCGAACGCGCGAGCGGGAGCCAAUCCCAAAAAACACGCCCCAGUUCAGAUCGAAGGCUGCAACCCGCCUUCGUGAAGCCGGAAUCGCUAGUAAUCGCGGGUCAGCAACACCGCGGUGAAUGUGUUCCUGAGCCCUGCACUC
rnacentral:rRNA from 1 species